rnacentral:rRNA from 1 species
AGACAGCAGUAGCCGCGGUAAUACAGAGGGUGCAAGCGUUAAUCGGAAUUACUGGGCGUAAAGCGUGCGUAGGUGGUGGUUUAAGUCCGUUGUGAAAGCCCUGGGCUCAACCUGGGAAUUGCAGUGGAUACUGGGUCACUAGAGUGUGGUAGAGGAUAGUGGAAUUUCCGGUGUAGCAGUGAAAUGCGUAGAGAUCGGAAGGAACAUCUGUGGCGAAGGCGACUAUCUGGGCCAACACUGACACUGAGGCACGAAAGCGUGGGGAGCAAACAGGAUUAGAUACCCCGGUAGUCCCUGUCUCUUAUAC